UACGGAGGGUGCGAGCGUUGUCCGGAAUCAUUGGGCGUAAAGGGCGCGUAGGUGGCCCGGUCAGUCUUUGGUGAAAGCGCGGGGCUCAACCCUGCGUCGGCCAGGGAUACUGCCGCGGCUGGAGCACUGUAGAGGCAGGCGGAAUUCCGGGUGUAGCGGUGGAAUGCGUAGAGAUCCGGAAGAACACCGGUGGCGAAGGCGGUCUGCUGGGCAGUUGCUGACACUGAGGCGCGACAGCGUGGGGAGCAAACAGG
rnacentral:rRNA from 1 species